GGAUGUGAUGGUGAUCUGGCUGCGACAUCCAUCACCCCAUUGAUCGGCAGGGUGGAUUUGGCUGAUCUGGCUGCUAAGCAAGUGUCUCCUUUCUCACUCACUGCUCCACGUGUGUCCCUCCCGAAGCUGUGCCCUUGGCUGAAGAGGACGACCUUCCCUGAUAGAGGAGGACCGUUCUUCAGUCAAGGGUAUAUGAGUAGCUGCGCUCUCCGGCUAGAACCUCCAAACAAGCUCUCAAGAGGCAGGAUUUGAACUGAGCCUCGAAGCCUGAAUCCAGUGAGAUGAGUGAGGACAAGACAU
rnacentral:snRNA from 1 species